ACACCGCCACCGCAGAUCGAAGGCCAUCGCGCAACCUCCAGCAUGGCGCGGCUUUCCUGAAUUCGCAGUUUGAAUUUGUAUUGUGUGUGUGUGAGUUUUGGUCAAGAGUGAGUUGCAAUUUUUUGUUUCCUAGAAGAUGUUUUUUGCCAUGAUUCUCCUCUGGGGUUUCUUCUCUGGGGUUUUACUUCCGGUGUAGUAGUCGAUAAAUUGGCGAUUUCUCUUGAUGUUUUUCAUUUGCUUUAUGUUUCCAAAGAAUAGUUUGUAGUUGAUGAAUUUCUCUAAGCUUUUGUCAUACCACAAGCAGGUGGUGUCGAGCCUCAUGUGUCACAUGCAGAGCGAGGUGGAGGAGCGCAUCCAUCCCAAGCAGCACGGGGCCUAGGUGUUCGUGAAGCCCGGGGACUUUUCCAUGAAGUUGGUGGAGUUUAAACCCCAGAGAUGAAUUUUUUUCUGGAGCCAAAGCAAGGGCUCCAAGAAAGAUUGGUUCAAGUCAGAAGCUCUGGAUAUGGAGCGUGGUCUUUGAAGCGUGCCACAAUCGAGCGAAAACGGACUUUCUGAGAUACUUCUACAGGGCAGAUAGCACAUCUAAGUUAUUUUUUUUAAAAAAUUUUGUAUAUUAUUCUUUUAACUGCCUAGAAGAACUGCCACAAUAGACAUACGUAUUAAGUUAGGAAUAGCUUCAGCACAAAAAUCAUACCGACUUGUCUGACUGAACUGUCUAAUCCCUGUCGACGGUUUCGUAGUUGUGUUUUCCUCAAUCAAAUGAAGACAGAUGUUCACUCUUUGAUACUCAAUAAUGUUCCUCCUGAUAUUACAACAAAAAACAAACCGCCAGUCACAUUUUAAAGAGGCAUGUUUAACAUCUAGGGCUUCUGGGAUGGUCUAAAGUGAGAUCCUAAUUAAGCCUCAGGGAUUAUCUAUACAUUCCAUCCCUCUCGAUUGAUGAUCAACAAAUAGAUUUGACUGCGUGUGCCCAGUGAGUUUCAAUGCCACAUUUGCAAUAAUUUUGAAAGUGAAGGACCUUGACACUUGUAGUCGUAUGACAUUACGUGGAAUUAGCAGAACAAUUUGUACGUUCACCCCAAAUGGAGAGCUUUGUAAAAUACAAGAGAACCUCCUAUACCUCCUUUUUAAUGGCUCUAAUCGCCAUGACGAGGACGACAAGGCUCCUGAUCCCUGAAUGGACUUUUCGAGCGACUCAAUAUUGCGGCGCAGUGCCAAGUUAAGCUGUGCGGACCCUGUCGAUGCAUCGGCCAAUAUUGAUUCCGCCAUUCUCAGUGGACCUUACCUCGUGUUGGGGAUGCUCCAGCUAGAAGACGUCAAGAGCAAGCUUCGAGACCAACCAAUCGUGAAUCCAGUAGGCAAUUCAGGCGGUGCGGAGUAGGUUUCUGCCGGAGGACGCAACGCAACAACGAUGCAAGCAAAGCACAACAACCAGGGCUUCAACUUGCUGCGCCCGUGUUAACGUGUCGCUGGAGUGCCACGGUUGAUUCGCUCUCAUGAACACCAAUCCUUUUUUUCUUUUCAACUGUUCCGACGAAAGUCGAAAGUUCCAAUGCAGAAGAUAUUAUUCAGUGGAUUUUCCCAAUCUGAUUGGGUACUUUGGUUCUCCUCGUGGGGAACUUGCGAACUUGACUUGGCCCUCCAUUCUAAUUUUCUCAGAUUUGCUGUAGCCAAUGUUCCCAAGUCUUGAGAAAUUGAAUGUGCAGAUGGUCAAAUUGUACACUAAUCUUACGCUGUAUUUUGUUUCUUUUCAUACUUAAUUACUUUAAUAAAUAUGCACUUCACAACGAA